rnacentral:lncRNA from 1 species
CGCCGGUGAAUCACUCCGGCCGAGCACAGGAGAUGGCGCCACGUACGAUUCACCCUUUUCCCGGCGUUAUCCGUCUAUACCGUGCACGAAUCCGGGCGGCGAUCAACGGCGGCGAGCUGAGCUGGCAGUCUGAUCCAUCGGGGCACUGUACCAUGGCACAUCUUCGUUAGUCGCCUGAACCGUCCCCCUUCCACCGACUAGCUCUCAUGAUUCUUGUGAAUAACUGGGCAAAAUUCCUUAACAAGGUUUGUUCUUGAUUUAACAGUCUUCAAUCCUUAUACAGGACAUUUGGGUCAAAACUGAGGGGAUUCGAAGAUAUGGCGCAUCAAACAUGACCUCACCUCACUGGAACCUUGUUUUAACCUUAGGUUCAGUUUCAGUUUUCUGAAACUGUUCUGACAGAGCAACUUGUAACAGGUUUUUCUCUAAUUUUUGUGUCAUAACUCAAGAGAAUAUCUGCAUCAAAGUUGUUCUCCUAUAAUAGGUUAACAAAAUUAAUGUGGUGACCUAGGGCAAAAACCC